CAACCCCCGCCGCCGCCGCCGCCGUUCCCCACCCCCCACCCCUCCCCGGCCUCCUCUACGCGCUCCACGGCCGAAGGGGGCGUAACACCGGCACCCUUCCUCGCCCCUCCUCCUAGUCCUAGGCCAGCUCCCUCACAGACACUCUCCCUUCCAUGGCGGAUCGGCACGGCGAGGGCGGCGUGGCCUCGGCGCGGCCGCCGGGGCACACAGACUUGGACGACCCAUCGACAACGCUGCUGCGGCGCGUGCAGGCGCACCUCCCGACCUCGACGCAGGUGGUGGGCCUCCUGACCCUGCUCAUCGCCGGCGCGGCGCUGCUGGUGCUGGCGGGGCUGACCCUCACGGGCGCAGUGGUGGCGCUCGUCUUCCUCGGUCCGCUGGCUGGCGCUGUUGACCAGCCCGGUGCCGUUCGCGUUCGCGCUCCUCGUGGUGGCCGCCGCGGCGCUCUACUUCGCCACCCUCACCGCGGCUAGCUGGGCGUACCGGCACCUCACGGGGCGGCACGCCGACCGGGUGGACCACGCCGCGCGGUGGAGGGGGAAUUAGAAGCUGAGGGGCGCAGCACGGGGCGCCCGGCCGCGGCAGGGAGGCCGAUCAUGGAGACGGGCGGCGAGGACAUCCUCGUCCCCCUGCAAUCCGCGCUCGUCGUCCCCUUCGAGGCCGCCACCGACCGCCUCACUCCCCGGUUCUCGCCUCCCAGGCCUAAGCUGACGGCCUCCGCCCCCAUCUCUUCGUCCCGCUCCGCGACGGGUACGACGCUCCUGACCCGCCCCUUUGCCGAACGCCACCACGAGCAGUGCGCGUCUCAAUUCCCUAGCCCUCCUCGUCAUGAGCAGCAGCGGAAGGAGGAGCACGUCCCCUUGGACCAGGCUGCGGUACCGGAGUCCGUUGGCAGGUAGGCGGUGAUCAGCUGGACCUGGAGGACUUGUGUUCCAAAGAUCAAUGGUGCAUUCUAGAUCUAAUGGAGGAUGUGCUCGUUUAGCGGGAGAUGAGUCGCGUGAUGCUGCAGGUCGCGUGGGAGGAGAACAAGCAUCAGAGGUGUUUCUGAAAGAUGUCACGGAAUUAAGUUUGCAAGUGGGGUUCGUUAGACACAGGUGGAAGGCGAAAUGGGAGAUAAAUUCCCGAAGAAGGCUGGAUUAAAGCAUGAAGAGCUAAAUGCUCGAGACGUGCUCACCUUCUGUGAUAAUAUGCUAUCAUGUACUGGCAGGGAGUUUAGCAAGUAGGUGCUCCACAAUUAAAAAUUCGGCGGGUAGACUUCAUCAUGGGACCUGGUAUGUGCGCCUGUUGGUGGAAGCUCCAGAUCAGGGUAAAGGCGCCUCCUCACAUGUUUGUGUUUGUGCUGAAUUGUUAUUUAUAAUGCUGUCAAGUCGGGGAUCUUGUGCUUCUCGUUGCUAGAAAUUGUGUUGAAGCUGCAGAUUCGACUGUCGUUGUUACAAAUUUAGUCGCGGGUUAUAAAUUUGGACUGAGAUGUUCGUUGGUAUGGUUAAGUGAUGAUUCGAGGGUUAUGCUUUACACUCAGUUUGGCAUUGGCAUGGAAUUGUUUCUGUUGUUGAUUUCUUGCAUGUAGUCACAGUUGUGUAACUUACGGAAGAGUGGUCUCACGCUUAUUUUGAUGUUGUAGUGAAGUUAGUGACUUUUAGUUAACAUCGACCUUAUGGUGGUUGGUAGUUCUGUAUGGCAAAUGCAAGCGUAUUUUUCAGGUCUCGCAUUUAGAUUCUCUUGUUUGUCAUUAUGGCUGCCAUCAGUAUCAAAUGUGCAAGUGGAGCCAAUUGUUGUGAACAUUGAUAAACUUGAUCUCAUGCUUGUAGAGACGGACGAUUCAGAAAAUCUUUCCAGCCCUACCAGGUUGUGAUUUUGUACCGUCAUAUGACCAUUCAGUAACUGAUGUUGUUUUCUCAUUCUUUGAAAGCACUGGAUAUGGAUAUGCUGAUAAGGUUGGUUUCACUGCACUUGAUGUUCAGUAAUAGGUACUUACACAUUCAAAAAAAUUAUCUGUAAGGCCCGUCACUCAGAGCUGCUUCUGUUAAAAUGAUGAUUAUAUUGUUAAAUCAUCCAGAUAGUUCAUGUUAUUCAUCAUAGCUAAUUUAAAUCUUUCUAGGCUCUGUUUUCUGCUUCAUAGUCUGUUUUUUCCAGUGUGUGCAUGUCUGCACCUUUUGUUUUACUAAUAAUUUUUAUAAAUUGUAUAACAGUUUCUUACUAUGGAUCACAUGCAAAUUUAUUGAAGCAAUAUACCCUUACAAAAUCUGAAGUAAUAUGCUAUACUGGGCUUAGAUUGCAGAUGGCAUGACUGUACAAGUACGCAUUGUGGACCUGGUAUUGGAAACACUUGGAAAGUCUGAAUACUUAUUUGCAUAUUCAGUUUUAUUUCUGAUGACAAAUGGGGCUAAACCUUUUUCUUUUGUCCUGAAAUUACCUUUAGGCCUUUUCUGGUGACUUACUUGCAUAUUCAGUUUUUUCCUAUUAUUUUUUUAGAGAGUAAAACUGGAUGCAUCAUUAAGGACAGGAAUUUUAGUUCCUAAUUUCUUUUCAGGUCACCUCCACUAGCAGCUAUAACAUUUCGUAAUUUUGUACUGUACACAAAAAACGAAAAAUGGGGUGCUUUGGGCAGCUAAGGCUCUUAAAUUUGGUCAUAGAUGGACUGUAGGAAAAGGAACCAAGAUUAGGUUUUGGGAAGACAAUUGGUUUGGCGCCUCCCCUUUAUCUGUUCAAUUUUGGCCUCUAUAUUCUAUUUGUCACCAACAGUGUGUGUCUGUAGCUGAUGUUUGGGAUGGUCAAAACAUCAAACUUACUUUUCGUAGGAUCUUUAACCCUGCCAUGAUGGAAGAUCGGUACUGCCUAGAGCAGAUCAUCUUGGGAAUUGCCUAUACUGAUUGUGAAGAUGCUCUACAGUAUUAUUAACUUUAGAGGGGCUAAACUUAUCUUUAUUCCCUCAGUUUGGUCUAUUGUGGUGCCCCCAAGAGUGCAGGUUUUCUUAUGGCUUUUAUCUCACAAUAAACUUAUGACAAAAGACAAUCUCAGUAAGAGGGGGAUUGGAAACCUCCCUGAGUGUGUCUUCUGUUCAGAACAAGAAACUAUUACACACCUUUUCUUUGAUUGUGUGGUCGCUAAAAACAUGUGGCAACACAUCUGUAAUUUCUUUGUAAUUAGUCUGGGAGAUGACUUCCUUUCAUUUGCCAGAUACUGGCCUGCUAGUAAGAAUCACGCUGCUAUUAAUUCUGUCUGUGCAUGUGCUUAUGGAGUAUAUGGAAGAUUGGAAAUUCCCAUAUCUUCAAAAAUGCCAUGUGGACGGACAUGAAUAGUUUGGUGUAUGAUACAGGUGACUAUCAGGCGGUGGAUGAUCCUUUUCAAAAAACAUCAUUUGGAGGGGCUGAAAAAAAAUCUCCAAUAUGAUAAAUCUGCUCAUACAAACCCCCUUCAGGCUGGGGGUGGGCUGAUCUAUGGAGGAGUGACGCAGCUGGGCAAUGCUGAGGGGCUGGAGAGGUCAAUGCUCAACAAGUUGUCGCUGUUUUCAAAACCUGCAGAUGGCAACGAACCUUCCUCUCCUCCCAGAAGAGAUUGGAACCUCAAGCAUGUGGUGUCCAGCCCAACUACGCCGCUAGAUCUUACUGCUUCUCCAACACAAUCCCCUCUGAAGAAGAAGAAGGGGGCUGAAACAGUCUGGAAAUGAAGAUGGACUUCGGCUACGAACCUAACUCCAUUGCAAUCGUUAAUUUAGCUUUAGUUUUUGCUUUUCAAUCUGCUCAGGCUGCGGCCUUAUGAGCUGUAAUAAUCAGUAGAACUUUGCUAGAUGUUUUUAGUUUUCCCUUCGGAUGCGCUGUAGGUGCUUUUGUUCUCUGUAUCUCUAGUUUCGUUCAAGCAAUGGAACCAGGGGGGCUUUGGCCCUCCAAAUAGUCUAAAAAAACGAAAAAUGGCAGGUAUUCUUGCCAGAUUAAAGUUGCACUUGAACUUGUAAAAUCAUUGUUUUCAGCCACUUGAUUGAAAUAUCAUUUAUAUAGGUUGUAAAUUUGAAAGAAGCAAGGGAUUUCUCCAGGAGCACAGGAUUCAUUUAUGCUUUCAUCGUUUGAUACUCUCCUAGUUUAUCCGAGCAAAUUAAUGUCUUGUGCUGUUACCUAAUGUACUAGGACAUAAUCAAUGAAGAAUAGUAUACACAAUUUCUGAUCUCCCAUAUUUUUUGUCUAAAUUCACAGAAAUUGGAAUGGCAGUUACUUUCAGUUGAUCUUUUACCCAACCCUGACAUGUUUGCCGAUACAUGAUUUAACUCUUCAAGCAGUCAAGAUAACAAGCGAGAUGAUGAGGGAGCAAAGCAAAUGUUCUUUGGCGGUGAAAAGUUUUUGGCAGGAAUAUCAGGGGAUUCUAAUAUAACUCUGCAACGAAUGGAGCAGAAGAGUCCACUUGUCCUGGAGGUUCAGCUGCAUGUUACUGAAGCUCUCUAUCCUGCUUUAAGUGAACCAUGUUUAUGGGCCUUUCUUUGAUUCAUGACUGGGGUAUCUGCGUGCUUAGAUAGAGCAGAUUUAGAUCCAAAGUCUCAACAGAAGCAGCAGGAUCUUCCAUGGUAAACAGAGUUCCUUUGCAUUGAAGAUGCUGAGUUUUAGCCUGACCUUGUAAUGCAAUCACUGUUCUUCUCACGGGGUAGCAUUUCAGACAGGGAGAGUUCAAAAAACAUGUCUUGCAUAAAGGUUGCUGGGCUGUUUCUGAGGACAUGAUGGUGGUCCAGGAGAAGGCCUCUUGAGAGGACUGAAGGAUUUAUCUUCUGGUCCACUUGGGAAACUUUUCACACCAUCUCACGUCACUGACAAGGAAGAAGGAAGAUCCGAAGACAAUGACAGCAAUUCAACGUUUGAUCUGGGGGUGCCAGAUGAUCUUGUUGUGUCAGUUCUGUUAAGAAACUGGUUGUUCGCACUUGAAGGGACAGAAGAAGCACGAGAUUGGUCUUCCCCUCGUAGUGGUGAUCCUAUUGGUAGGGAUGAUAAAUGCUGGCAUAAACCUUCAGGAAUCUGCACGUGUCAGCCAAAAGUAGUGGCCGACCUAACUUGGGAGGUGCAGAGAAGGUGCUGGACGAAAGAACAUUUCCAGUGGAGUGAUUUACCGUAUAUCCAUGGCUGCUAUACUUCUGUAUUUCGAUUUGUUACUCUCCUCUGUAUUCUGAUAGGCAGAUAU